rnacentral:lncRNA from 1 species
AUGUGUCAUUUAGUUAAAUGUGAGAAAACUAGUUAUAGGUGCUCCUUUUACAUUCGGCACCCCAUACGAGUGGGUUGGUCUUUGACUAGCGCAACCAAUAGAGGCUUGGUGAGUAUUGGCCGGAGGAGAACCUGCUGUGAACUGCUCAUAACUCACUGGCAAAGCAAAGUUUCACCAAACAGCACCACAGCAUCAGAGCUAGCGGGCAUUUUCAUCUGUAAGAUGAGCGAGUUCGGUUCGUUGGCAGGAAGACAGCUGCGCGUUGAAAUAUGAAAGUUCUAAAGGAACAAAACAGUAGUAGGAGUUUCGUGAUGGAGACCUGAGACUUCUGAAGAAGCCAGAGCAUGACCUUUGAACUUCAACCUUCAUUGUGUCUGAGUGAGUCUGGCCACUACUGCUCAGACAGAACAAACCUGAGUCCUUCCAGUCUGGCUGCCUGUCAAAGCCUAAACCACCGGACGUCUCUUCUCUUUCCAGAGGAGUUCCUACCUUUGAUUUCUUCAUGAGCAGCAGAAGCCGCGUGAAGGAAACUGUGUGUGUCAGCGACGCUCUAACCACAACAAGGUCG